rnacentral:rRNA from 1 species
AUGGCCAACGAGCAGUUAGUGCAGCAGCAGCAGCAGGGCCAGGGCGAUGAAGACGACGACUCAAAGCUGUAUGAGUUCAAGGAGCAGCUCCUGCUGCUAUCGACUUUGGUGGCUACGGUGACAUACGUCGCCGGGCUCAACCUGCCCGGGGGAUCCUGGGAGCAGGAUGACCCGGGAGGGCACAUGGCCGGGGAUCCGAUCCUAAUGGCUACCCACUACCGCCGGUACCUUGCCUUCUACUACUGCAACGCCACAGCACUCGCCACGUCGCUCGUGGUCUCCCUCAUCCUUGUCAUCCUGCCGAAGAAUAGCACACCCUGGACCGUGGUGCUGCAGAUGGUCAUGGUGCUUGACCUACUAGGCCUCAUGGGCGCCUACGGUGCUGGGAGCUGCCGGGAUGCAUUUACAACCAUCUAUGCGGUGGCCGCCUUCUCCUUUUCGGUAUUGGUCAUCAUCUCUGUUUUUCUUUCCUUUUUGGCCAAGGCCAAUAGGGAUGAUGCUAUCAGCUCCGACGCCAUACCAAUCACCACCAAUGGUGAUGAUAAUAAGGUCCACCCCAAGUCCCUCUGUAACCUCAUGAAGAUCGGCAUAGUGAAGUUAUUCGAAAAGGGGGGUAAGAACCGGGGUGAGAAGGAGAUGGUCGAUGUGUUGAUGUUACUAGCAGCCUUUGUAGUCACAAUCACAUACGUCGCCGGGCUGAACCCGCCUAGGGGGUUCUCGACCAGCACCCAGGAAGGCCAUCGUUUGAGCGACCCGGUGUUACAAGCCCGUAACCGGUACCGCGUCUUCUUCAUUUGCAACACCACUUCAUUUGUCGUGUCCCUGCUCAUCAUUGUGUUGCUCCUGGAGAAGAAGCUGCUCGGGAAGAAGAAGUUGAGGCUUGUGGCGCUCUGCGGGUUGAUCGUCGUCGCCCUGCUGGGCCUCAUGGGGGCCUAUGCUGCUGGGAGCUGCAGAGAGGCUAGCAAAACUGUCUUGGUCCUUGCUGUUCCUGUCUGCGUAUGCCUCCUGCUGGCGCUUGUUUUCAUUUGGGGAUCACUGGUGGACCGGCUUGAUUCUGUCUUCACACGGUUCAAGCAACUGGUCAAGAUUCCUUCAGGUACGGCUCGGCUUGAUUCUGUCUUCACACGGUUCAAGGAACUGGUUAAGACUCCUUCAGGUACAUGCACAGGCACGAAUGUUGACCUACAUGAACAGAUCACUCGUGAUCUUGUUAUGCUCCUUGCUACUCUUGUGGUGACCAUCACUUACCAAGCAGGACUAGAUCCGCCUGGCGGCCUUUGGCUAGAUGACCGAGAUGGUCAUAAUAUCGGUCACCCAGUGCUCCAAACGACAUAUCCUACUAGGUACAGAGUGUUCUUCUAUAGUAACUCGGCAGCUUUCGUCACAUCCUUGGUGGUCAUCAUGAUGCUCCAGAGCAAGUUUCUGCUCAACCGGCACACACUAGAAGCAACCCUAGUGCUGGACCUAUUCGGCCUCAUCACUGCCUAUGGCGCCGGGAACACUAGGGAGGUAACCCAGUCCAUCUACAUCGUCGCCUUGGCAGGAAUUGUCCUAGUCUAUGUCAUCGUCCAUAUCACCAUUAGAGAUCAUGACGCUGAGCCAGUGGAUGAUGAAGAAGUAAAGCAUCUCGAUGACAAGCGCAAGGUACUGUUGCUGGUCGCUGUCUUGGCUGCCACCCUCACAUACCAAGCUGGCCUCACCCCGCCAGGUGGCUUCUGGUUAGCAGAUGACCGAGAGCUCGGUCACCGUGCGGGUUUCCCAAUCCUCCUUGACAAUUACACUCGCCGUUACAACACAUUCUUUUACUGCAAUGCAGCAAGCUUCAUGGCGUCGGUAACCCUCAUCCUUCUUCUUGUCAAUCCAAAGCUAUACAGGCCAGGCAUACGUUGUCGUGCGCUCUAUGUGUGCAUGCUGGUGGGCAUGUUUGGCCUCAUGGGUGCCUACGCUGCUGGAAGCUCCCGGAAUCUCAAGACCUCCGUCUAUGUAUUGACCUUGGUUGGUGCUGUGCUAGCCUUCAUAGCCUCGCUGCUAGCCAUUUUCUUGUUGGGGCCUUAUCUCAAAUCCCAAGAAGGUAGAGAUUUCUGCUUCGUCCCUUUUGGCAAAUCUCAAAAAGGUACAGAUGUGCAAGUUGUAGUAGGUCAUAGAAGUAGCAAAUCCCGUGAAGGUACAGAUGGGCAAGUUGCAGCAGGUCAUAGCAGCAACAAAUCCCAUGAAGGCACAGAUGGGAAAGCUGAAGCAGGUCAUAGCAGCGGCAACAAAAAUAGCAGCAAAAAGAAAGAAAAACUUCAAUACUUGAUGCUGCUUGGGAUCCUGGCUGCAAGUAUGACAUACCAGACUGGCCUAAAACCACCGGGUGGCCUAUGGCAGGACAACAAUGAUGGGCACUAUGCUGGCAACCCCAUUCUCCGUGACAUCAACAAGGACCGGUACAAUGCUUUCUUCUACAGCAACUCGGCCUCCUUCAUGGCCUCAAUUGUGGUUGUCGUCAUGCUGCUUCCAUUGACGUUGUUGCCCGAGAAAUACACAAUAGAGUCAUCCGAGAAAGACACAAACCUGUCCAAGAAAGACGCAGAGACACCCGACGAAGACACACAGUCGCUUGACAAAGUCCUGAACUUGCCCAAAGAAGAGACAGAGUUGCCUGACGUAGUCCCAAAGUCAGCCGAGGAAGACCCGAAGCUGCCCGAAAAAGACACAUGGCCACUCUGGCCGAUGCAUACGGCCAUCUUGCUGGACAUGAUGGGCCUCCUGGUGGCAUACGCAGCAGGCAGUACUAGGAAAUGGGAAACAUCCAGGAACAUCAUGGUCCUCGCCGUUCCUGUGUUGGCCUACAUUGGGCUCUAUGUAGCACUGUCAGUCUUCCGCCAUAGAAAAGAAGAGUCCACAGCCCCCCCACCUGCGGUACAGCCGUGGAAUCAUUGCAAGACGUGCAUGAGUGUUGGGUCAACCUUGGUCUUCCGGUGCACACAACGGCAGCAGCAGCAUUUACGUCUCAGAUGCAUGCAUGGCUGCAUGUCGGCAUGGCAGCAAGUAAAAAUCUUUUUACUAGCAAGAGCAGCAGGCGUGCCUUAG